rnacentral:rRNA from 1 species
AACGAGGGGUUAACCCGUCUCCCCUUCUCCAGUCAAAUGAAAAUUGAUCUGGCCCGGGCGGAAGCGGGACUUCUAUAUACAAGACGAGAAGACCCUUUUGGAGCUUAAAGAUAAAAAGAUCAACCCCGUCAAAGAGUAUAUCAAAAACUAAACUAAAUGGUAUUUGAUCCUUAUCUUCGGUUGGGCGACCACGGGAGAAAAACAAAGCUCCCACGCGGACUGGGACUAAACCCUUAAAACCAAGAAAGACAUUUCUAAGUAGCAGAAUAUCUGACCCAU